GCCCAGGUGGCGGAAUUGGUAGACGCGUUGGUCUCAAACACCAAUGAUAGCAAUAUCGUGCCGGUUCGAGCCCGGCCCUGGGUA
rnacentral:tRNA from 1 species